rnacentral:lncRNA from 1 species
ACCGCUCCUGCCAGCUCGUAUGUUGCCAAACCUCGUUCCGUACCUCUUUGGCGAGUUGCUUGUCUCCGGUAAGAAAGCUUUCAGAUGGUUCGAUCUGGUUGAUCUUGUCUCCACUGGUUCGAGUUGCUAAACAGCCCUGUUAACAAAAACCUAAAGGAGAUCACUAAAACACUGUGGAACAAGAUAAAAAACAUCGCGC